rnacentral:rRNA from 1 species
AUUGAACGCUGGCGGCAUGCUUUACACAUGCAAGUCGAACGGUAACAGGCCGCAAGGUGCGGACGAGUGGCGAACGGGUGAGUAAUGUAUCGGAACGUGCCCAGUCGUGGGGGAUAACGCAGCGAAAGCUGUGCUAAUACCGCAUACGAUCUAUGGAUGAAAGCGGGGGACCGUAAGGCCUCGCGCGAUUGGAGCGGCCGAUAUCAGAUUAGGUAGUUGGUGGGGUAAAGGCUCACCAAGCCGACGAUCUGUAGCUGGUCUGAGAGGACGACCAGCCACACUGGGACUGAGACACGGCCCAGACUCCUACGGGAGGCAGCAGUAGGGAAUAUUGGUCAAUGGGUGAGAGCCUGAACCAGCCAUGCCGCGUGCAGGAAGAAAGCCUUCUGGGUUGUAAACUGCUUUUGCCAAGGGAUAAAAUACCCAUGCGUGGGGAAUUGAAGGUACUUGGUGAAUAAGCCACGGCUAACUACGUGCCAGCAGCCGCGGUAA